rnacentral:lncRNA from 1 species
UCACUGCCUCGGUUGGUUGGAGAGUUGUUAGCUGCUGCUGCCGCCGCCGCCGCUGCUCAGUGCACACGGCCCGCCCCUGCCGCCGUCGCCACCGGUGGGGUUUUCGCUGACGUCCCAGCCCCGCCUCCUCCAGCCUCGGGACUUGGGGCCGAGACCGAGGGACAGACGGCAGAAAGCGCAUCGCAGCGGGGCUGCCUGCACAACGGGGUAGCUGGAGACGGAGGGGGGCGGCGCGAGAGAGUGCAAGCGCGAGACCCACUCCCUGGAGCCGCGAGAGCUUCGCCCGGAGGUGGAGGAAGGAGAAGGAGGGGCCCUAUAAAAAGACAGUCGGGAACUUCCCCCCCCCCCACCCCGGCCUCCGAAUCUCCGCCUGACCUCGGGGAGGAAGCGGCCGCGCCGCCGCCGUUGUCGUCGUACCCUCUUCCCUCCGCCUCUAAUAGCGCCCGUCCCCCUCUCAUUCCCUCCUCCCACUUCCCGAGCCCCUCGGCGUGUCUCGGCCACGCUCCGCGCCGCCGAAACAAAGGAAAGAAUCAGGGAGCGGAGGCGGUCGCGCGAGCUCGGGCCCCCGGGCUUCCUCUCGCUCGCGCGCCCGGUUCCGGCGCAGCCAACGGCACCUGGGCGCUGUGGAGGAGACGGCGCCUGAGGAGGAAGAGGAGCCGCUGGUGCUACCGCCAUCGCUGCAGCUGCCGGUGCUCCCGUUCCUGCUGGUGGGCGCGAGCUCCGUCCAGGACCAGCCCCGCCGCACGCGCCUCGCCCGACCCGGGAGUCGCCGCUGCCUUCGCUGCCGCGCGCCCUCCUUCGCCGCCCCUCCUCUUCCAAGCCGUCGCGGAGGCCGAGCCGACCGCCCUCUCCGCCUCUUGCAGUUUCUUCUCACUCCAUCUUCUUCAGGGUUUUUCCGUCGCCUGGAGCCCACCUUAACAGGGAAUUCUUAUCCAGGAGACAACCUACCUCUUCAAUUUGUGGCAGAUCAGUUGAUUACACUGAGUGCCAAUUAUAACAGUGCCCUUGGAAACACAAGGAUUUGGUUGCUAUAUCGAGUUCUGUCUAGUAACCUUGCAUCACAGAUUAACCACUAGUGAAG